rnacentral:siRNA from 1 species
AGAGCUCGAGGGCAGUUGGUCUGG